CCUCCAUUUCUUGGCACGCGUGCAGUUUUGCAGUACUCAUGUGUGUAAUGUUCGGAGGAAAAGUGACCUACAACGCAAUGUCUUCGGUGCUGGUGUUUGUUUGUGCGCCAGUUCUAUCCUCAAUCGCUGUGACAUGA